rnacentral:rRNA from 1 species
GAUCAUGGCUCAGGAUGAACGCUAGCUACAGGCUUAACACAUGCAAGUCGAGGGGCAGCAUUUUAGUUUGCUUGCAAACUGAAGAUGGCGACCGGCGCACGGGUGAGUAACACGUAUCCAACCUGCCGGAUAACUCUGGAAUAGCCUUUCGAAAAGAAAGAUUAAUACCGGAUGGCAUACGAAUAUCGCAUGAUAUUUUUAUAAAGAAUUUCGGUUAUCGAUGGGGAUGCGUUCCAUUAG